UUAACGUGCCCUUUUGAAGAAGUCACUACUCCACUGAGCUAUGAAGCUAACACAGAGCUUUGGAGGCAACCUACUGAAGUUACAAAAGGGAACAUAAGACAAGCAAAAGAAUAAAGAGAGAAGUUGAAAUGCUGUACAAUGAUUUUGAAAAGCAUCAUGUAUUAUUCAUUCAGAGGUGAGAUAUAGCAACUUUAGCCUACACUUCUAGGGAACUCUUGCUUAUUUUGGUCCUUAACCGACACGCUCAACUUCACCGCUCCCUAGCUAUUCACACCUAACAGUAUUUCUACAGCCAAUUAGAAAUGCUGCUUUCAGACAGAACUGCCACUGACUACUGAAUGAUAGUUCGCAGCUCCCAAGUCAUAAGGUUUUUCCAUCUGGCAUAUAUGCUACUUUUAUCCUUGUGCUUUAACUGCAACUGCACAUAUACUUUCCAAAACUCUUAUGUGUCUCACUGUGAAAAAGGCUGAUGGCAUACAUUUUACCUAUUCUGGGUAUGUCACUGUAAACAUGAACAUAAAACCCAUGAGUCUUAUGAUAAAUCAGUGCUGUCAGGGUGACUUUUUCUUUUCAAUAUUUUUAAUUAACCGAGCAAUAACACAAAAGCCAAACAUAAUGGAUUUUAAGUAAUGAUCUUCAUCCAUAUCUGAUGCUUCUAUCAAAUGAAAGCUCUUGGAGAUGCUCUGAGUUCUCACCUUUCAUAGAGGUAAAAUACCUCAAAUAGUUUUGAAGCAAAAAAGAAAUGGAUGACAUUAGUGGCAGGACGUCACUCUGUUUUCCUGUGAUGAAGUUAAGUCCCAGGAAUCCUGGCCAAAAAGCCAACCUAGAUGCUGGAGCACACAGCCUCCUCGCUCCAUCAG